rnacentral:rRNA from 1 species
UACGUAGGCAGCAAGCGUUGUUCGGAGUUACUGGGCGUAAAGGGUGCGUAGGCGGCUUUUUAAGUUUGGUGUGAAAUCUCCCGGCUCAACUGGGAGGGUGCGCCGAAUACUGAGAGGCUAGAGUGUGGGAGAGGAAAGUGGAAUUCCUGGUGUAGCGGUGAAAUGCGUAGAUAUCGGGAGGAACACCAGUGGCGAAGGCGGUUGCCUGGGGCUUUGCUGACGCUGAUGCGCGAAAGCGUGGGGAGCGAUCCGG